rnacentral:rRNA from 1 species
UGACCGCUACGAUGAGUGCUAGUGUUGGAGGGUUUCCGCCCUUCAGUGCUGCAGCAAACGCAUUAAGCACUCCGCCUGGGGAGUACGACCGCAAGGUUGAAACUCAAAGGAAUUGACGGGGGCCCGCACAAGCGGUGGAGCAUGUGGUUUAAUUCGAAGCAACGCGAAGAACCUUACCAGGUCUUGACAUCCUUUGACCACUCUAGAGAUAGAGCUUCCCCUUCGGGGGCAAAGUGACAGGUGGUGCAUGGUUGUCGUCAGCUCGUGUCGUGAGAUGUUGGGUUAAGUCCCGCAACGAGCGCAACCCUUAUUGUUAGUUGCCAUCAUUUAGUUGGGCACUCUAGCGAGACUGCCGGUGACAAACCGGAGGAAGGUGGGGAUGACGUCAAAUCAUCAUGCCCCUUAUGACCUGGGCUACACACGUGCUACAAUGGGAAGUACAACGAGUUGCGAAGUCGCGAGGCUAAGCUAAUCUCUUAAAGCUUCUCUCAGUUCGGAUUGUAGGCUGCAACUCGCCUACAUGAAGCCGGAAUCGCUAGUAAUCGCGGAUCAGCACGCCGCGGUGAAUACGUUCCCGGGCCUUGUACACACCGCCCGUCACACCACGAGAGUUUGUAACACCCGAAGUCGGUGAGGUAACCUUUUGGAGCCAGCCGCCUAAGGUGGGAUAGAUGAUUGGGGUGAAGUCGUAAAAAGGGUUAACACAA